GUUGAUAUGGCCUAGUUGGAUUUUGGUCCGAAAGGACGUUGGGUUUUGGUCCGACGGGGCGUGGGGUUCAAAUCCCACUGUCAACA
rnacentral:tRNA from 2 species